GACGAACGCUGGCGGCGUGCUUAACACAUGCAAGUCGAACGGAAAGGCCCUGCUUUUGUGGGGUGCUCGAGUGGCGAACGGGUGAGUAACACGUGAGUAACCUGCCCUUGACUUUGGGGUAACUUCAGGAAACUGGGGCUAAUACAGGAUAGGAGCUCCUGCUGCAUGGAGGGGGUUGGAAAGUUUCGGCGGUUGGGGAUGGACGCGCGGCUUAUCAGCUUGUUGGUGGGGUAGUGGCUUACCAAGGCUUUGACGGGUAGCCGGCCUGAGAGGGUGACCGGCCACAUUGGGACUGAGAUACGGCCCAGACUCCUACGGGAGGCAGCAGUGGGGAAUAUUGCACAAUGGGCGGAAGCCUGAUGCAGCAACGCCGCGUGCGGGAUGACGGCCUUCGGGUUGUAAACCGCUUUCGCCUGUGACGAAGCGUGAGUGACGGUAAUGGGUAAAGAAGCACCGGCUAACUACGUG
rnacentral:rRNA from 1 species